rnacentral:sRNA from 1 species
AUGAAAGGCCUGGAGGCCAAGUUCCUGUACCCACCAAAUAAGUAGAACCCAGGUAUUAGCAGUGCAGGCUUCCCCAUGCUGCCCUGUCAAUGAGCCUCAAUUCUGAGAGUAUCUAAGUGAGUGGGCAGUUUUGUCCUCGUGCCCAUUCAGUCCUUGACCUUG